GGAAAUAUUUGCAGAAGCCCUCAGCUGCUGGAGAAGUUACAUCUGAUCUCCCACCUAUACCACUCUCUGAAGCAGAUUUGCCUGCAGUUGAAGGAACAACAGACACAACUUACACUGCUACUACUCUACAGCCUGCAGACACCCCAUCAACUGGAACAUAUCCUGAAGACCUGAAUGCAGCAUCUCAGGCUGCAUCUCUCAGUGACGUCACCAGAGAGCGAGGGAGUCGGUGAAAGAGGGAGGGAGCUAUACUGUGUGUGUGUGUGUGUGUGUGUGUGUGUGUGUGUGUGUGUGUGUGUGUGUGUGUGUGUGUGUGUGCCGUGCUUCUCAAACAGCUCUACAACCGUCAGUGAGCUGACAGGAUUUAAUUUGGGCCACGGAACAGGCGUGUUGGGAGCUCGGCUGAACGCUUUCCUGACUAAUUGUCUCCAGAAAGCACUUUUUCACUCAGUGCUGCAGACAGCGGCGCUUCAUUUUCUGCCCGACCAGCGGCGGUCGAUGGGAAGCUGCCAAUACAGCUGGCGUCCAGUAUGUGUGAGUAUGACUCUGUUACAGUAUGUGAUUAAUGCUGAACUUUGCUUUUAAUGCUGUGACGUUCAUUUUCAUUGAUCGACAUGUCAGCGGUAUUAUGGCAUCAUAUGGGCUUUAAAAAACACAAUUGCACACAUUUUAGCAUUAUUAAUUCACAAUUCACAGUCUGACAGUUACUUUGAAUGUAAUAUUGCUGCACUGUUUGCUUAUCACAGGGUAUUGCCAGGCUGCCGUGUUUUCAUACUUCCUUAAUGCUGUUAAGGGGAUUUUCAUUAAUUUUAACGUCACACAAUUUUAACGUUGCUAGCAAGGUAGCCCCUGCCUGAAAGCAAUUGCUCGUGGGCAUAAUAAUGCGCUUGCACUUGCGCUCUUCUCACCCGCGCACGCGAACUUGGACGCGCUGUCACGCACGCGGAGCCUGUAUCUGCGUGUGUGUGUGUGUGUGUGUGUGUGUUUUAUCCUGAGACUUCAAAGCUUCACUGUACAGUAGGUGUAGACGCGCUGGUGUUGCAGUGUGGUCCAUUUAUCUCCUUUUGCCAUCAUCACACAGGCUGGAGGUCUGCAGCUAACGUAUCUGAUGCCAACAGUUUGUGGGGAUGAAGUGAAGCAAUGACUGCCAAGAUAUCAUUCGGUCAAUGUGACAGAUUACAAUUUGGCAGUGAUUAACAACAAGUCAGCUAAAGUGUGACCUCCAGGGUAAUGAUCCACUGUAAGAUAAAUAUUCAUGUUACCUAUAGAAAAGCACAGAGUGAUUAUCCGUUUUCUGAUAUUGAUCAGGUGAUAUUCCACAAAUACUGAUGAAUCAUUAUAUGUGGUUUAUGCAGAAAUAAUCUCCAGUAAUGACACAGCAUGUUUAUUUGAUUGUCAUGUUGCUCAGAUAUUGGAAGGGAAAGUUUAGAUUUGAUUGAUUUAUGAACUCUUGAUUUUGAGCAUGUCAUUUCAGUGAGAAAAGAAACCAAAAUACGUUGAACCAGUGGGGUUGGCAGAAAUUGUAUUUUGGGUGGGCCAACACUAAAAGUGGGUGGGCCAUCUUUUCUCAGAAAAACUGACUUGUGAAGAGUUAGAAGAACAAAUAGACACAAACUGAAAAAUGAACAACCAGUUUACUUUGCAACAUUCUGGAUCACAGGCAAUAACAGCAAAACACUGCCUAUCCAACAUGCUCAACCAACAGAGCAUCAGUCUAUAAAGACUGUACACAACAGUACAGACAAAAGGCGGUCUUUUAUAGCCUAUCCAGUCUAAGAUACAGUAUAUUUGCACUAGCAAGAGCAUCUGCUCAUUGGCUCUACAGCGCAUUGCAAACAAUUUUAUUGAACAAAAUGGCACCUAAACAUAAACCCAGAAAGCAGAGGUGUUAUUUUAGACAGAAACCACACAAGUAACAUAUCUCUUGUGCAUUCAUUAUAGUCUAUAGCCAUUGUUGCUUCAGUACUGGUCUGCUCAUGAUAAACCAAAUGGUUCAUAAAUGACACAUAACUUGGGUGAACCCAUAGCCCCAAGAACUUGAUUUCAGUUGGAAGUGCAGAGGUGCUGACUAUCAAACACCCCCUCCCCCAAAAAUGUUUGAGUUUAUUAAAUACUUGCAGCGAUCCCACAGCAGCAGAAAGUGCGUCUCCCCAUUGAGAUACACUGCACACAUUUACGCAUUAGGCACAUCAACGUCACUUCAUUGACUAUUUAAAUCUCCCAACACGCCGACAGAAUCAGUCAGGAUCUAAUGUUAAUUAAUGUUCUGUGUACUACACAUCCAAAAGGUUACACACAAAGUCCAGGUUCAUACAGUGAAAUUGUUUGGAGCAGAGUAGACGUCCCCCUGAUAAAUCCUGAGCUCCAUUAGAGCUGUCUAAAAAAUAUUUCAGAAGCUAAAAGUUUAAUUUUGAUUCCUCUGGAGAGUUUCCUCUGUCCUGUCAAGUUGAUAACUACAGUUUUUAGUAGUCAGGCUGCCGGAGACAAUUCUAACCGGCAUGUGUCAACUGGGUCUGUGAGCCGCGUGUCUCACGCUUCUUUUCCCCACUUAACUAUCUUUAUGCGCAGGGUCUAUUUUUGCUGGACCGCCUCGCACACGACAGAAUGAAAUAAUUAUUGCAACAACACAAAUAGGCAGAUAAGCUGCCAGCUACCUGGAGGCUGCAGUACCCCCAGCACCCCUACUUCCUGCAGCUAUGAGUGAACCUGCAUCAGGCUGACUGGGAGAAAGUGCUAUACUGCCAGGGAGCGAAUGGCCGGGCUGACCUUGCUGUGGGCUGACGAGUCUGGUGGACUCAGUUGGAGGUGGAGGAUUUUCUUCUUCCUCAACAUUUUUCAAUUAACACAUUAAAAACUUUGUGUAGCUACUGAUGUAGCGUUAACAUUAGAUUGCAAGCGAGUCGGCCAAGUCACAUCACAGUGAUCACUUGAGAUUACAGCCUGUCUGACAGCCUCUGACAGGCUGCUAUGAUUAUGCUGGGUGUGCCCAUGACUAUGCGGGUGGCACACACACACACACACACACAACUGACGGACGCAACAGUGCAGCGUAUGGGUAGAGGUUCACCAGCACCAACAUGCUCAGUAAUGUUUAAAAUGACACCUGAACACAGCCUGGCACAGUGGCCACAUAAACCACACACACACACACACGGAUGGCAAACGCAGCAACAUCAGCAUAAAAUCCAAUUGUACACCCAACAAAAACUAUAACCCAAUAAACAAUAAUAUUGAAAUAGGCAAUACAAUCCGAAACUGUAAAUUAGCUUGCUUUUGAUGAUUACAGUAGGAGACGACAUGGCUUGGUGUUCAACACUGAAAUUAUUUCAUUAUAGUCCAAUGUGUCAGUCAGUUCUCUUUCAAAAUGAGCAGGGACAAAGAGUUCAGUCUGUAUGUCAUCACUGAUGCCAGUUUUUAUCCAACUGAUGGUUGAAGAGUCUUUCAACAGUACAGCUUGUUGCUGCUGAAUUAGCAGCCACGUACCUGACGAUACUACUUGGCACAUGUUGAGGAGAAACUGGCACAGGAGUAGGUGUCUUGGUUGAGAGUGAUGACUGAACUUGAGCUGAAUUCUUUUCCUCCUGCUCCCCACGUCUUUUAGUAAAAGCAGCUAGCUAGUGGACUGUAGGCUUCUGCUCCUCUGUGCAAUGCGUGGGCUGUACACUGAGUGAAUGAGGAGGAGCUGCUCGCUGCUUACAAACUGGCAUUUGCAAAAUGCACUGGCACUCAAAAAUUCUGACCUAUUAACAUCAUCAUAUGGUAAACAAGAGGCAAGAAACAAGAAUUGUUUUAUUUUUAUUUGUUGCAUAAUCGCAUUUGAAACAUUGACUGCUAUUCAUUGGAUGGUCCAGCAAAAAAGGAAGCCUUCUGAUUGCCAAGUGGGUGGGCCAAGGCCCACCAGGGCUCACCCACAUUUUCAUAUAUUAGCUAGAUUUCAGCUUUAACAGACUUUAACAGGAGCCUUUUUGGAACCUGAGAACCUUACCUGUGUUUUCCUACUGGAGUUAGUGUACUUACUUGGCCAUAGUUCCUGGCACCCAAAAAGCACCUGCUUUAGGUGUGGUAUUUUCUGAUGGCACAGGAACUAUUCUGCCAACCCUGUCUCAUUUACUGUCUCAUCAGAUAUUAUGUUUAUAUGCUAGUAAAUUGUUUUCUCAAUUAUGUUGCAGAAGUGAACGUAAUUGCGGGCUGGAUUAUUUUCACAGGCAAUGUUUUUUUUUCGAAUGAAUUAAGCACUGCAUUUAUAUAAUUCACUGAAGUCAGAGGGGGCUCAGGGUGGAACACAUAGAAAACUGAUCUCUGACACCAGAGACCAAGGUUCACAUCCAGAGCCCUGUGUGUCUAGAUUUAGGCAACAAAAGCAAUACAGUUAAGGUUGGUGAAAGAUCUUGGUGUCUUUUAAUGUUAAUAAACACAUUGUGUCUCAUGCUUCAAGUCACUGCUUUUUCUGUAUUAAACCAUAAUCUUUCCUUAAAUGAUAGGUUUACAUUUUUUCAAGUCUUGUCAGGUGCCUAUAUAAACAGUGAAUGAGGUUUUCGUCACUGCAAUCAUCCCUCCUGUUAUACUGGCUAUUAAAAGAUCCCCUUCAAAUGUGCUUUCAAUGUAAGUGAUAGGGGCCAAAAUCCCUAGACCUUGCUCUG